rnacentral:rRNA from 1 species
GUGGGGAAUUUUGGACAAUGGGCGCAAGCCUGAUCCAGCAAUGCCGCGUGCAGGAAGAAGGCCUUCGGGUUGUAAACUGCUUUUGUACGGAACAAAACGGUCCUGGCUAAUACCCGGGGCUAAUGACGGUACCGUAAGAAUAAGCACCGGCUAACUACGUGCCAGCAGCCGCGGUAAUACGUAGGGUGCGAGCGUUAAUCGGAAUUACUGGGCGUAAAGCGUGCGCAGGCGGUGCUGUAAGACAGGCGUGAAAUCCCCGGGCUCAACCUGGGAAUUGCGCUUGUGACUGCAGUGCUGGAGUACGGCAGAGGGGGAUGGAAUUCCGCGUGUAGCAGUGAAAUGCGUAGAUAUGCGGAGGAACACCGAUGGCGAAGGCAGUCCCCUGGGCCUGUACUGACGCUCAUGCACGAAAGCGUGGGGAGCAAACAGGAUUAGAAACCCCAGUAGUCC